rnacentral:tRNA from 1 species
GCGUCAGUAGCUCAGCUGGAUAGAGCGCGCCCCUCCUAAGGGUGAGGCCGGGGGUUCGAAUCCCUUCUGGCGCACCA